GCAAGUCGAACGAUGAUGCCCAGCUUGCUGGGCGGAUUAGUGGCGAACGGGUGAGUAAUACGUGAGUAACCUGCCCUUGACUCUGGGAUAAGCCUGGGAAACUGGGUCUAAUACUGGAUACUACUGCUCAUCGCAUGGUGGGUGGUGGAAAGGGUUUUACUGGUUUUGGAUGGGCUCACGGCCUAUCAGCUUGUUGGUGGGGUAAUGGCUCACCAAGGCGACGACGGGUAGCCGGCCUGAGAGGGUGACCGGCCACACUGGGACUGAGACACGGCCCAGACUCCUACGGGAGGCAGCAGUGGGGAAUAUUGCACAAUGGGCGGAAGCCUGAUGCAGCGACGCCGCGUGAGGGAUGACGGCCUUCGGGUUGUAAACCUCUUUCAGUAGGGAAGAAGCGAAAGUGACGGUACCUGCAGAAGAAGCGCCGGCUAACUACGUGCCAGCAGCCGCGGUAAUACGUAGGGCGCAAGCGUUGUCCGGAAUUAUUGGGCGUAAAGAGCUCGUAGGCGGUUUGUCGCGUCUGCUGUGAAAGCCCGGGGCUCAACCCCGGGUCUGCAGUGGGUACGGGCAGACUAGAGUGCAGUAGGGGAGACUGGAAUUCCUGGUGUAGCGGUGAAAUGCGCAGAUAUCAUGAGGG
rnacentral:rRNA from 1 species